rnacentral:rRNA from 1 species
UACGUAGGGGGCGAGCGUUGUCCGGAUUUAUUGGGCGUAAAGAGCUCGUAGGCGGUUUGUUGCGUCUAUCGUGAAAACCUGCAGCUUAACUGUGGGCUUGCGGUGGAUACGGGCAGACUUGAGUUCGGUAGGGGAGACUGGAAUUCCUGGUGUAGCGGUGAAAUGCGCAGAUAUCAGGAGGAACACCGGUGGCGAAGGCGGGUCUCUGGGCCGAUACUGACGCUGAGGAGCGAAAGCGUGGGGAGCGAACAGG